UUUUAAAUUUUUUAUGAAAAAAAAAUAGUUAUGAAAUAAGACUUUAACUUCCACAUCAUGUUCUCCUCAACCGUCAUUAUUAAUCAACUUAUAAAUUAGUUUUGCUUAUUAAUUUCAUAAGAUCAAAAUUUAUUUUAAAAUUUUAAUAUUAAAAUUGAAUGGAAUAUGAUUAUUUAGUAUCUCAAAAAUUUGUCAUUGACAAACUACCGGUAAUUUUUAUCUUAUCAACUUAUGAACUCAGACCAAUAGAGAGUUAGAGCUAUUUUGCAUAUACCAACAAAUAAAAAAAGCUAAAUAGUCAAAUUUGUACAUCUAGUCAAAUUUGAAUAACGCGGUUUUUCCCACUUAUCGACCGCUGGGUAUACUGGAAUACUAAAAUAUUUCAUAUAAUGCAUAUUAACCAUUUCUCAUCGCUUGUAGCCACAACUUACCACAUAAAAAGAAUGUAUAAAAAUUAUGGUAACUAUAAUGAAAAAAAGAACACUACUAUUUAUUAUUUAUUAAUAUUAAAUAACAUUAAUUAUUAUAAAUAUUUUAUUUAGUACUCAUACUUUUAGGUUUAAUUUGAAGAUGAUAAUUAUCAGGUUAGUUUUUCAAUUCUAGGUUUUAUUGAAUUUUCCUAUUAUCCAUAAUAUGUUAUACGAAAUAUAAGUAUUAAUGUAAUUUAUUGUAUUCAUCGAAUGGUAUGUGACCAUGUGACAAUGCCAGAGUAUAUAAUGUUUCUUCUUUGUUUUAGUCCAAGGGUCUCCAAAAAGUCCGCGACCCGCUUUAGGCCCGGCCUGGCCCGACAGGCUAAAGCCUGGACCAAGCUCGCCGGGCCCGAGCCCGUUUCUGGGCGGGCCGAGCCGCGGGCCUAAUUUUAGGCCCGGCCCGUAGGCCAGCCCCUUUAAAAAAAAACUACAAAAAUAAAAAGUAUUAAAAAAAAUAUUCAUUUCAAAAUUUUAUUCAUUAAAUGUAUAAGCCAUACACCAUGUGACGUAGCCUCAAAACAAGAUAUGAACUCAGCUUCCAUAGUAGAAGUAGCAGUCAUGGUUUGCUUAAUGCUCCUCCAAGAUAUAGCUCCACCGGCCAAUAUAAAAAUGUAUCCAAAUGUUGAUUUACGUGAAUCAACACAACUAGCAAAGUCUGAAUCUGAGUAGCCAACAACCUCUAAAUUGUUUGUUCGUCUGUACAUAAGCUUGUAAUCUUUGGUUCCUUGAAGAUAUCUCAUCACUUUCUUUGCAACUUUCCAGUGGUCCUUACCUAGGUUACUCUGAUAUCGUCCUAACAUUCCAACAGCAAAUGCAAUGUCAGGCCUUGUGCAGACCUGAGCAUACAUCAGACUUCCAACCGCAGAAGCAUAUGGAAUGUUCUUCAUUUGUUCCCUCUUAAGAUCGUUUUUCGGGCAUUGGUCCAGAUUGAACCUAUCACCCUUCACUAUAGGAGAAACACUAGGUGAACAAUUCUUCAUCCGAAAUCUCUCUAAAACUUUAUUGAUAUAGGUCUCUUGAGACAAACCUAAGAUACCUUGAAAUCUUUAUGGAUCUUAAUGCCAAUGACAUAAGAUGCCUCACCCAUAUCCUUCAUGAAGUAAACCCUUAUCAUUGGUUGCAAGUAAGAUGUCAUCCAUGUAUAAAAUAAGAAAACAAACUUUACUCCCACUGACCUUAAGGUAUAUGCAUUGAUCCAUAACAUUUUCUUCAAAACCAAAUGAAGAAAUUAUGUUAUAGAAUUUUAAAUACCAUUGGUGGGAUGCUUGUUUUAAACCGUAUAUGGAUUUCUUAAGCUUACAAACCAAUUUCUCACCAUCUCUAGAGGGGAAUCCUUCAGGUUGUUUAAUGUAAACCUCCUCCUCUAGCUCUCCAUUAAGAAAUGUUGUUUUUCACAUCCAUUUGUUGCAAUUCCAAAUCAAAGUGGGCUACUAAUGCCAAUAUAAUGCGUAAGGAAUCUUUCUUAGAUACAGGAGAAAAGGUUUCCGUGUAAUCGAUUCCUUCUUUCUGAGUGAACCCCUUUGCAACAAGUUUGGCCUUGUAUCUCUCAAUGUUGCCUAAUGAGUCUUUCUUUGUCUUAAAAACCCAUUUACAACCAAUGGUUUUUGCACCAUUAGGCAACUCAACAAGGUCCCAAACAUCGUUGCACUUUAUGGAACUCAUCUCAUCCUUCAUGGCAUUGUACCACAAUUCUGAUUCUUUACAACUCAUGGCUUGUGAAAAAGAUUCGGGGUCAUUUUUGGCUCCUAUAUUGUAGUCACAUUCCUGUAGAUACACUACAUAAUCAUUAGGAAUUGUUGGCCUCUUAGUUCGAGUAGACCUUCUUAAGGUUGCACCAAUAUCUUCUAAGAAAGUAUGAGGUUCAACUUGUUGUUCAGAAGUGUCAGGAAACUCCUGAUCAACUUGAUCUACUGGAAUGUUGUCAACAGCUUGUGGAACUUCAACGACUGGUUGAACUUCAGUGAUUGUUCGUUCUACACCCGAUUAUACUUGAGGGGUGUUAUGAAUAAUAAACAAUCUAUCACUUGAAGUGGAAGGUUGAGACUUUGUAGGAUCAAUAUCAGAAACCAUGUUUCUGAAUUGAUCGCUCCCACUGACCAAGUCAUAUUCAAGAAAUUUAGCAUUUCUCGAUUCCACAAUCCUAGUGUUGUGAGAUGGACAGUAAAAUCUGUACCCCUUAGACUUUCCAGCAUAUCCAAUGAAGUACCCACUAAUAGUCCUUGGGUCCAGUUUCUUCUCCUGUGGAUUAUAAAUUCUCAUUUCAGACGAGCAUCCCCAAACGCGCAUAUGUCGCAAACUCGGUUUCCAACCUUUCAAUAACUCAAAUGGCGUCUUUGGGACAACCUUGGUUGGAACUCGGUUUAAUAUAUACACUGCUGUCUUAAGUGCUUCAGUCCACAAGAAUUUAGGAAGUUUUGAGCUGCUAAGCAUACUCCUCACCAUGUCUAAUAAAGUUCGGUUUCUUCUUUCUGCUACACCAUUUUGGUCUGGAGAACCAGGCAUGGUGUAUUGGGCAACAAUCUCAUGUUCUUGAAGAAACUUUGCAAAUGGCCCAGGUGAUUGUCCAUCUUCCAAGUAUCUACCAUAAUAUUCUCCACCUCUAUCUGAUAUCACGAUCUUAAUUUGUUUACCAUUUUGUUUCUCUACUUCUGCCUUGAAAACUUUAAAGGCUUCUAAAGCUUCAUUUUUAUUAUGAAGUAUGUAGAGAUACAUGUAUCGUGAGAGAUCAUCUAUGAAAGAGAUGAAGUAUUUCUGACCAUGAGAGUCCAUGUCAAGACUACAUAUAUCAGUAUGUAUGAUCUCUAAUAUGGUAGAACUCCUAGUAGCACCUCUCUUUGACUUGUUGGUCUGCUUUCCCUUAAUGCAGUCCACACAAGUCUCAAAGUCAGUAAAAUCUAGAGUACUAAGUACCCCAUCAUUCACCAAUCUUUUGAUUCUAUCUAUGGAGAUAUAACCUAAUCUCCGGUGCCACAAUGUAGAGGAAUCCUCAUUAACAACACAUCUUUUAAUGCCAGUUUGGACAUGUAAUGAAUUAUGAGUGGUAUCAUUUUGUAACAAUAUGCAAUAAAGACCAUCAGACAAAAUACCAUUCCCAACACAAUUAGAUUUAUAAAUCAAACUGAAAGAUGUUUCUGAAAAAUGAAAGGAAUAUCCAAACGGUACAAGUCUAGAAACUGAAAUCAAGUUUCGUGAGAAACUUGGUACAUAAAAGGUCUUUUGCAAUUCUAAAACAAAACCACUAUUUAAAGUUAAAUAACAUGUCCCUAUUGCUUCCACAUGCGAGCCCAUCUUGUUUCCGGAUAAGAUGAAUUGUUCACUUGUCACUGGCUUCUUUAGGUUUUGCAUACCCUACAAGAAAUUUGAAAUGUGGAUUGUAGAUCCAGAAUCAAUCCACCAUGUGUUGGUAUUUACAUUAACCAUAUUAGAUUCAUAACAAACAAAUGAGGUAGGGUUACCUUUCUUCUCAAGCCAUUUCUGAAAUUUCAGACAUUUCUUCUUCACGUAUCCUUUCUUUUUACAGAAAAACACUUUUCGUCUUUCUUAAUGUCAGAUUUGGGAGGAAUUUGUUGCUUCCCUUUUUUACUAGCUUGAGAUUUUCCUUUCUUUCUUUUCCUUUGCGUCACUAGCAUGGCACUUUCUCUGUUCCAUCAAUAACCUUCCUUCCUCUUGAACACACAUGGUCAUCAAUUCAUUGAUAAACCACUUAUCCUUAUGUGUGUUGUAAGAGAUUUUGAAAGGUCCAUACUGAGGCAGAAGAGUGUUAAGGAUAAAGUGCACCAAGAAGAAUUCAGACAUUUCUACCUCGAGUUUCUUCAAUUGAGCCACUAUGUCCCUCAUUUCCAUGAUGUGUUCGCAUACACCUCUUAUACAUGUGAGCUUCAGGGAUGUGAACUUCAUAAUCAGGAUGCUUGCCAAGGCUUUGUCUGAAGUGACGAAUUGCUCGUCAAUAGCCUUGAGCAAUUCGCGGACAUUCUCAUGUUGCUCGAUCGAACCACGUAUAUCAGCACUAAUUUUUGUCUUUAUGUACAUCAUGCUGAGCCGAUUAGAUUUCUCCCAGCGUUUGUACAAUAUUAUUUCUUCAGGUAUGCUGGUAUCAGUGAUCUUAUGUGGUUCAUCUUUUCUUAUGGCAUAGUCUUUGUCCAUACACCCUAAUUGAAGAAGAAUCCUCUCCUUCCAUAUCUUAAAGUUAUCUCCUCUAAGUUCGGGAACCUCACAACGAAUAUCAGAUAUGCUAGGUAAAACUGCACAAAAGGAUUACAAGCUUAUUAAAAAAUUUUGAGGCUUUAAUAUAAAUUCAUGCUUUACCAAUGUAGAACAUGCUUAAAAUUUAAUCUAAAUUUUAUUAAAAAUUGUCUGUGGGCUAAAUCUUUAAUUUAGUCAGAUUAAUUAUCUUUAUGAUAGACUUUAUCAAACUAUUUUAUUAAAUUAUGAAAUUUAUUAUGAAUAUAGUUUGAUAUUUUCUGUUUAUAAUCUUUAUGAUAAACCUAUUAAAUUAAUUCUUCCUAACUCUUGUGGGUAAAUUAGGAAAAAUUAAUUUUAAUAUUUUAUCCUAAUUAAUUAUAUAAACAUAAUGAAAACCCUGUGGGGUAAAAUCAUCAUAUUUAUAUAAUUAAUUACAAUUAAUGUCCAUAAUGUGAUCCUUAUUUACUUAAUAUAUAAUUUUUAUAUAAUUAAGGAUGUUGUGACUAUUCCUUAAUUAUUUAAAAAAUCAUAUGGUUUCACUAGACAUUAAAACUAUAUGAUAUAAUUUUAAUAUAUCUAACUCAAAUUCAGGCAAUAAUUGCAUGCAUUAAGAGCUACAACUUUAAUUUAAGUUACAAACAUAUAAAAAAAUAUAUAAUUAUUUAUUUUACAUGUAUAAAAUUUACAUGAUAAUUUUAAAAAUAAUUUAAAGGUUUCAGAUUAUGAAUGAAUGCCUAAAUCCAAAUAAAACACAAUCAAUUCCAUGCUUAAUAAAAUUAAAAUAAAAAAUUCAACCACAUGCCCACAUUGAGCCCCAUGGCCCAACAAAUUUUAUUUCUAGGCCAUUACCGAUCAAUCCAUAUUUAAACCCAAACUUUAGCGAGCUUCAUAAGAAACCCAACCCUUAGUAUUCAUAAUGGGCCAUUGUUUAUGCAUUAAGCCCAAAGGGCCCAAUAGCCUCUUAUACCAAGGCCCAAUUUCUUAGUAGAACCCAAUCUCUUAGUAGAACCCAAUCUCUCUCUAGGUUCUUUCAUUAUUUUUAAUAUCACCUUUAGCCAAAACCCAAUAUCACAUUAUUAUUAUUAUUAUUAUUUUAAUAUUUAAAUAUCAACUUGCAACUGAAACCUCCAAAAUCCUAUUUUGACGCCAUCCGCAUGGACUGCACCAACACGGACAGCGCCAUGAACGCCACGACCCGCGUGUUCUGCAUCGACACCGGCUGCACCACAUCGAGACUUUAGCAUGGCAACUUUCCAACACCUGCAGCACUCCAUGCUUUGGAGCUGCCUGCAUCAUGGGUAGGAAGAGCCUCACGGGUGCCCUCCUGCCGCCUGCAACGGCACCUCAGUGGCACUUCCCAUCUGAAUGAGAUGGCGCCUGAACGGAGCCUCCAAUGGUGCCUCUUGUCGGCACGAAAAGAUGCCUGAAAUGGUGCUGCGAACAGCGCCUGAACGGCGCCUAGAACGACGCCUGAAUGGCGCUUCCAAUGGUGUCUCCAAUGGCGCCUUAACAGCGCCACUAAAGCACCCGAAUGGCUGCUGGAGCUCCUGAAAAUGGCGCCUUAACAGCGCCGUUGAAGCACCCAAAAACGGUGCUUGGAUGGCUGCUGGAAUGGUGGCUGAGGCGCGCCUUAAAUGGCUCUUGAACGACACUUAGUAAUGACACUACAAGCGGCGCCUGAACGGCGCUGGUAUGGCGCCUGAAUGGCUGCCUGUUGAACGCCUGUAAUGGCGUUUUCUGAAAGAAUUACGCCAACCCUUUGGAUCGCCUUAAGCAGCCAUUGUUUAAAUAAUUUAGAGAGAUCAUAAUAACAAGAAUUUUCAUUCAGAAUUAAUACAAAACAGAGGUAAGGUUUAACGUGCUCUGAUACCAAAUGUUGUUUACAUGCUCUAUAUAUAUAUAUAUAUAUAUAUAUAUAUAUAUAUAUAUAUAUAUAUAUAUAUAUAUAUAUAUGAUUCCAAUGAAUUUGCAACAUGAAUCAAAACUGAAAAAGACUAAGAAUAGUCUACUUACCUCCAGCCAUUGUAGUCGAUUUCAAAAACUUGAUUUCCAAACUCUGAUCUCCCUUUUUUAGAUGGUGUUUCUGAAGGAAAAAACAGCAGACGAGUUCGGGACCAUUUUUCUUUUAAAAUCUUUAUAACCGUGGCUUCCAUCAUACCAUGUUGCUCUUGCCACCACGUUGAGCAGUUGCUGGAAUGUGCUCCUUAACCGCAGCGGAAGAGAGAUGGUGGAGGACGUGGUCAAAGUGCUGGACCACAUCAUGAAGUGUUGGACGUGUGAACGUGUAUUUAGCUUACAAUGCAUUCAUCAAAACCCACGACUCUCGAAUCCGUAUCUUCAUGUCAUGUAGCUGUAUGAAUUGAACUCCCUGUUUAUUUGGAAAGAAAAUGAAAUUGUGAUUAUAUGACUACUACUUCCAAGGAGCUGAAUAGUUGUAUUAGGCUUAACGAAUGGGUUAUUUUCUAUACUUUUUGUUGUUGGUACCGGCAUUUCCUCAAAAGCCAAACACAGAGUAUUAUAUCGUCUAGGAAUUCAUGUGGUAAUAUUGUGGUUUAGGGUUUAUGAUUUAUUUAUUUUGUUUGAUUAUGGACUUUUUGUUUGAUUAUUGAGAUACAUUUAAUUCACUUGAUAAAAUACACCCCCAAAAGUAGGGAAAUUCUUUUUUUUUUUUUUUCAUUUUCAUUUCCUUCUCCAAUAUGCUACUCUGAUCAUCACUGUUUGAUUAUUGAGACUGAGAUCAUUGAAUGGCUCAAUAAGAAGGAUCAGUUGUCUGCUGCAUUUGUUAAAAUAUGGAACUCUGGAAUCUGGUAGUGGAAAUAGAAGCCAUUACUUGUUUGUUUGUCCCGAAGGAUUUAAAGGUUUAAAUCUUGAGAACAUAUGUCCAUGGGGUUUAAAUAUCAAGGCCCACAUCAAUUCUAUAUCUGAACUUGUAAGUUUUUCAUGCUUGCAUGUGGACGAUGAUAUGGGCUUGUUGGUCUAAUGACACUUUAGUACUAGUUACAUCCACUUGUGAUAUCUCAUAUCGGAUAGAAAUUUUUUUUUUCUGGCAUUAUAUAAGUACAAACUUUUUUUUACCUUAUUUUAAAGUCAUAAGAGUUUCCCUAAGUUAUGAAUAGGUAAUAACUAUAUCAUUAGGAGUGUAGUGUGAGGGUUUGUUUGACUUUUUGAGAUAUAUAUGUCUAUUUGGCACUUUGUGUUUGUAUAUGAGGUGAAUAUGAUAUCUCACAUUGGAUUUGGGGAAAAAGUCUUUGACAUUAUGUAAGUAUAGGCUCCUCUUACCCCCUUAGACAUAGAGUGGAUAAUAUCUAUAUAAUUGGAAUGGAUCGUUAUAUCAUAAGUGUAACAUGUCUUAUUUUUUAUCAUAUAUACUACAAUUUAGAAAUGUACUCUUUUGGUAUCUAUAAAAAAAGGUAUAAUGAAUCAAGUGGUGUCAUUUACAUAUUUUUAGGUCUUAUUGUUUAUACCCUAACCUCAUAUAUUUGUAUUCUUGUACCUUAGUCUCUUUCGUUUGUACCCUUGCUCAACGGCCUACAUUUGACAAAACAUAUUCAAUGAUCAAAAAGGCACAACUAAUCAAGUAUAAAAAUAUAGAAAACUAAUAGAAUAUGGGUAAUUGUAUUCCAUAGGUGCAUAAGAAAUAUCAUAUAAAAAUUCUAUUAAAAAAAAAUUGGUCAAACAAAAUUUGUUCAAAACUUACAAAAAUAUUGGAAAAACUCUAUGAAAUGAUGAAACAUAUAUUAAAAUUUUUUAUUUAAUAAAAGAGUUUAUGGAGGUAAAAUUUGUGGAAUUUGGGUAAUAAUAUAAUCUAUCUUGAUAAAAAAAAAUAUGAAUUUUGAAACUAUAUGUCGAAAUAAAAAUUUUGUUUAUUGUAUUGCAUUAUUUAAAACAUAUAAUAUUUCAAUAUUUAUAACAAAUUACAUUUAUAAGGAAAUUCAAUUUUAUCCCAAAAAUAUCUAUAUUAAAAAAAAACUUAAAUUGUAAUUUAUAAUUAUAAAAAAUAAAAAAAUUUAAAACUUAUUAUAAAAAAUAAAGGUAUUUUUUCGAACAUUAUUAAUUGUUUUUAGUUAUUUUAACUUGUCUUUUGGAGUUAUUUUAAAAAUAAUUAUAUAAAUAUGAAAAAUAAUUGAAAAUAAAAUAUUAUAGACAUUUGAAAUUAUUGAAAACAAGUAAGUUAUAAAAAGCACAAGACAACUGUUUAUGAAAUUUAUUUUCAAAAACUAUUUAAUGAAAACGUUUUAAAAAAGUACCCAAAAACUAUUUUCAUAUAUAUGUGUGUGUGAUUUUUUUAAAAACAUAAAAACUAGGUUGAAAACAUUCUAAUUCCCAAGAAUAUUUUUGUUUUAUAAAUUAUCAGACAACUUUUAAAAAUUGUUAUUGAAAACCAUUUUUUUAAAUCAGUUUUGAAAAUAGUUCCUAAACGGAGUCUAGGCCUUCCUUCCUUGAAAUAAAUUUGGCAUUAAAGUGGUGCUUACUGUUUGGGCCGCUAGGCACUUGCUUUAAAUAUUUCACUCAAUCAUAACCGAUUAUGCACAUAACUAUAAUGUGUUAGUCUAAGUAACAAACCCCACCCCCCAACACACACACACACACUAUAUAUAUAUAUAUAUAUAUAUAUAUAUAUGGUAAUUUAAUAAUUGUAACUUAUUGAUUAGCCUAUUUUUGUCUCCUCUACAUUGGGUAGGGACUCACUCUAAGGUGAUACAAAACAAACAUUGGGCUGAGCGUGAAUUUAAGCAUACAUGGAACUCACUCUAAGGUGAUACAAAACAAACAUUGGGCUGAGUGUGAAUUUAAGCACACAUGGAACAGAAAGCGAAAGGAUGAAGACAAAAAUGAUGAAAGUGGUAAUACCAUCAAACAAUUCAAACGAAUAAAGCACAGCUUGCAGGCCCGCAACAAAUGCAAACACCAUGAAAAUCAUCGCAGCCAUGGUUAGCAUACAGCCGUAAAAUAAGAAUGCCAGGAUGGUGUUCUUGUUAUUUGUAGGGAACGCGGCAAGGAAAUAAACACCAAUAGCACACAUAGAAAGUACCAUGGCUAUGCUAUCUGCCAUGACAAAACUUGUGAAAUUGUCCCUUACUGCAGGUGCCAUGUAUUGGUCCUCGCCCUUGGUGCGUCUGAUACUAACUCUCUGAUUAGGUCUCUGAAACUGUAAAACAUUUAAAGAAAGCAUGGAUAGAUAUUCGAUUCAAAGGGUUUGUAAAAGAAGGAAAACAAUAUUUUUUAAGAUUAAAAGUCUGUCAUUUCUUUCUUUUUCCUUUUUUUUUUUUUCUCACUAUCAUCUAUGAUGAAAAAAAAAAAAAGUUAGAAAAUUAAUUGGGGGUCACAGCAGGAACAUAUACAUAUAUAGGGAAUUGAAAUUUUUGGCGGCCUUAUCAAUCUUACUAAGGUGUCCAAUAUCCACGUUAACAUCGUCUCCGGAGAUAUGAUAGGCAUGUGAAACAGAUGGAGGGGUGUCUUUCCUUCAACAUUCUUCUCAUUCAUGAGCCCUCUCACCCUUAACCAGCGAAUAUUUGACAAACCCGAAGUUGCAAAUAUUCUCUUCCUUGGCACUAUUAAGUGAAGAACAUUAUUGCCCUUAUCAUCAACUUUCUCGCAACAAUCUGGAAAGCGUGACACCAGCAGCUUCACUAUGUCCACAUGGCCUCGGCUCGCUGCAAUAUGAAGAGUUGUCCUAUAACGCCCAAGUUUUUAUUUUUAGGGGUAAUUUAGGAAAUUAUUAAUUUAAUAAAAAGGAAGAGGGGUGAAAAGGUAAUUUUAUGAAUAAAUACCCUAGGUAUAAAUUAGAAUUUUGUUCUUCCUGUUCUUUUCUGAAUCACGUUCCUGUUCGCAAAGAGUUUCCAGAGAACGUAAGAUUGGAGUCGGAUUUCAGGGUUUGAAGAACAGAUCUCUAUAGGUAAAAUUCUAGUCCCUAGAUUAAUAUUUUAGAUUCAUUAAUUAAUUUCAAGCACAUUAGAUAUGUUUUUGGAAAACCCAAAUCUAGAUUAGGGUUAGUUUUUUUUUUUAUUAAUUCGUUUUAAUAUCAAAAUAUUGAAAAUUUAAUAUUUUGAUUUAUUGUUGGAAAUUAGGAAAUCUUAAGUUUUUAGAUGAAAAAAAAAAAUUCUUUGGAAGAUUUCGAUUUAGGCUAGGGUUAAUAUUUAAAAAAAAUGAGAGUAAACAAAUAUAUUGUUAUUUGUGGCUUAAGGGAUUAGAAAUAUUAAAUAAUAAAAAAAGAAAAGAAAAUGAAGGAACGCUGUGCACACUAGAGGAAGUAAAAAAAAAAAAAAAAUUGAGAAUGCAUGUGCACACCGGAGAAAGUUGGAGAAUGGUAAAUAAAAAAAUAAAAAAUUAUGUACGGAUGGUGUUUGGUAGUUAAUGUAUAUAUAUAUAGAUAUUAUUAUUAUGUUGGCAAUAAUGGAGAAUUGUUGGGGAUAAAGUUUAUGUUUGAAAAAAAAAAAGUGGGAGAAUAGAAGUUUUAAAUAAAAGAACGUAAAAUUUUUGGUAUUAUAAUUAUACUAAUGAUGAGUGUAAGUUAAUAAAUAACGUAGAAAUUAAUUAGUAAAAUAAAUUACAGUUUAAUUAAAUUAAGUUGUGUCCCAAGAAAUAAAUUAAAAUAAAUUAAGUUUUAUAUGAAUUAAAAAUUUAUUAAUUUUUUUUAAAAAUAUGAAUAGAUUAAAUUAUCUUUUAUAAUUAAAAACAUUAAUUUGAAUACCUAAAAUUUUAGGAUUGACAAACCUAUAAUUUUAGAUAAAUAGUAAUGGUUAUUUCUCUUAUAUUUUGUUAGGUGAAGAAUAGAUUUUCAGGAUUAUUUUUCUCCAAAAUUUUUUAGGACUUCUUUUGAGGUAAAGGAAAUUAAUGCAAUUAUUAUUUUUUUUAGAAACAAAUUUUUAUAUACAUCUUUUGGAAAUAUUUUGAAUUAAUAUUCGUUUUAUGCAUGGAUCAAAUAUGUUUUGUAUGAAAAGCAUGUUAGAACUUUAUAUUUUGUUUACAACAGAGAAAUGUGGAGAUAUUAUGUUUUGCAAAUUCAAAUAAUUGAAAUAAGUAUUUGACUUUGAUUUGUUUGGCCCUUGUCAACGGGAUAUAAUAGUUGACCUUUACAUUUCUUGGUGGGGAAUGUAAUUGAUUUGGACCCUAGCCUCUAGGGGUUUGGUUAGAGAUUACUAGUACUAGUAGUGUUUGGUUCCACCCACAUUAAAGGAACAAUUUGAGGCUAGCCACCUAUUUGAAAAGUCCCACCUAAUUGGGCACUAUUUGAUGUUUGAUGACUAGAGAAAAUAAAUGAUUUGAAUGUUUUGAUUGAAUUUGAUAUGAAAAUGUUUGAAUCAGAAUUGAAAGUGUACAGUUAAAAAUUUCGAAUGUAUUGGCAAAACUGACUCAAAGGUUUAUGAAAAUAAUUAGUUAUAAUGUCUCCUAUUUUGCAAGUGAUUUUGAAAUGUUUGAUCCAUGGACUGCAUUAAUGUUCCUUAUUGGGCUUUGAGCUCAUACCUAUUUGUUGAUUACUUUUCAGGCACCUUUAGUUUGAGUGAGGAGUGAUGGCUAGGUCAGGGAAUGGUCAUCAUUAGGAUUUUGCUUAGGAUGUUAUUUGAACAUUGUUAGCUUAUGAGUUUAUGUUCCUUUGGAUUAUUUGGUUUUGGAAGCUAUUUAGAUAUUGAGCUUUUAAAUAUUUUUUUUUUUUAUAAGUUUGAAGUUGAGAUUUGGAGAUUAUGGAAAUUUGUUAGCACUUGAUUUAUUUGGGUUUGCAAUCUAUUUGGAUAAUGGAUUUUGGUUGAUGGAUGCUUAGUUUUAAAGUUAAGUUUGAAGAUUUUAGAAUUUUAUUUCGCUACUAUGAACAAGUUUCUGGUAAUUGGUUACUUCCAGUUAUAAUAUAAUUGUUUGGGUCAGGUUACACUUUAAGCCUUUGAGUUUGAGGUGUGAAAUGACCGUCACGCCCUUGGAGUGGGUCUUGGGACGUGACAUGUCCUGUUUCCAUGGUCUCUGACGCCUAGGCAGACAACAUCCCUGUCAAAUUGCUCUAGCAAUUGCCUCACUAUUGUUGGUGAGAACCCACAUAUGCAGCAAAGUGAAGAGGAGUCCACCCAUUUUCAUCCAAUUCAUUAGUUAAAGACACUUCCAUUCCACUAUCUUCUUUGUCAUUACUGAUAAAAUCAACAAAAGAGAGAAAAAAAAUUAAGAAAAUUAAUGCAGUCUCCUCUUGUAAUUAAUAGCCAAACAAAAUACACUCAAGUUUCAGCUCUCCCAAACCAAACUGAUCAAGAACUCAACUCCCAGUUAGUUACAACAACCCAAGAAGUUAGAACGGUUGUACAGUAGAGUAGUUAGUGUAACAGUUGAAUGAACUGGUAUAAAAACCAUGAUGCUGCUAUUAUAUUCUAGUGAUGAAAUGAAAAACACAGUUUCAAUUUAGUUUCUAUCAUGGUAUCAAAGCGGAACGAUCUCUUGAAAGAAGACUUGUUGAAAAGAUAAGCUUUAGGCUGCACAAUACGCUCGUCUCUCAAAAUAUCAUCUGUCUCACCAAUGGAAAAUUCAACUCAGUCUUUUGAUCUGCAAACUAGAGUGGCGCAUGUGUUUUCUUCCUCAAAUGACAUUCUUCCACAAACACAGGUACUUAAUCAUACACUCCCGAUCAAAUUUGAUAGAAAUAACUACGUCUUAUGGAAAACCCAAAUGGAAAACGUAAUAUUUGCUAAUGGCUUUGAAGACUACAUUGAUGGUUUAAAGGUGUGUCCUCCAAAAGAAACAAACACUGGUGUCUUAAACCCAGAAUUCAUUUUGUGGAGACGUUUUGAUUGUAUGAUCUUGACUUGGAUCUACUCCACUCUUACUCUUGAAAUUAUGGGACAGAUUGUUGGGUUUCAAACUUCUCAUGCAGCAUGGACUACAUUAGAGAAAAUAUUCUCAGCUUCAUCAAAGGCUCAAGUAAUGCAACUCCGAUUAGAGUUCCAAACAAUAAGAAAAGGUUCUUUGUCAAUGAUGGAACAUAUCCUAAGGAUCAAGAAUAUUUCUGAUAACCUAGCAGCAAUUGGAGAAUCAGUGUCUGAAAAAGACCAAAUUCUUCAACUUCUUGCGGGUCUUGGAGCUGAUUACAACUCCAUAGUAGCUUCCUUGACAGCACAAGAAGAUGAUCUCUCUCUUCACUCAGUACAUAGUAUUCUUCUUACUCACGAGUAACGAUUGUGUCUCCAAAAUACAGUACCUGAAAGUGAUCUUAUCAAUGCAAAUAUUGCAACCUCUCAACACAAAAAUAACAGCAACAAAAGGCACAACAACAGAUUCAAUUUCUCUCAAAAGAAAAAUGGCCCUAGACUAGGAAGAUAUCCAUCUAGUGGCAUAGGACAAGGAAACCACGUUAUCUCUACUGAUUGUCCAUAGUGCCAAUUGUGUGGAAAAUAUGGUCGCACUGUUCACAAGUGCUAUCACAAAUUUGAUAUUAAUUUUCAAGGCUAUACAUCUGUAGAUAGUUCAUUUGUACAUAAUACAUCCAACGGCAACAAUCAAAUGCAAGCUAUGGUUGCAUCUCCAGCUCCGGAAAAUAGUGAGACAUGGUUCUUUGACACUAGGGCCACUCAUCAUCUAGCUCAAGAUAUUAAGACUCUCUCUAAUGUUCAAGCAUACAAAAGAAAUGAGCAAGUUAUUGUUGGAAAUGGUAAGAAACUUCCAAUCCUCCACACUAGUUCAAAAUUCUUUCCAUCCACCUUCAGAAAUUUUCAUUUAAAGAAAGUCUUACCAUGUUUCUCAUCUCACUACUAAUCUAAUUAGUGUUUCCAAAUUUUGUACCGAUAAUAACGUCUUUUUUUAGUUUCACCCAAAGUUCUUUCUUAUCAAAGAUCAAGUCUCAAUACAAGUUUUUCUUCAAGGAUAACUUAAGAAUGGCUUAUAUGAAUUCCCUCCUUUGACUGAUAAUGCCCCUGUAGUCUUCUUCACUCCUAUAAUGUCAAACAUCACCUCUAGCCUCUAGCAUUCCAGGCUUGGUCAUCCAGCUGAUGAUAUUCUGACAAAAGCUUUUGAUUCUUGUGAUAUUGGUUAUCAAAGAAAUAGACGUGAUGUUUGUUCUGCUUGUCCAGUUGCGAAGAGUCACAAAUUACCCUUUUCUUUGUCAAAUUCUAGAGUUUCUCAUCCUGUUGCUUUAAUUCACACUGAUCUAUGGGGACCUGCCCUAACUCCAUCUACAACUGGUGCUCAAUAUUUUCUUCUAUUUAUUGAUGAUUUUUCCCGAUUUUCUUAGAUAUAUUCUCUACAUACAAAAGGUCAAGCCUUAUCAACCUUCAUCAAAUUUAAAACGAUGGUUGAAAAUCAAUUUUCUUUCUGUAUUCAAUGUUUGCAAUCUGAUAAUGGUGGAGAAUUCAAACUUUCACUCCUUAUCUUACCACUCAUGAGAUUACACAUAGAUGUUCUUGUCCCUACACUCCUGAACAAAAUGGCCGAGCUGAGCGAAAGAUGAGACAUUUAGUUGAGAGUGGUCUUGCCUUAUUAGCCACAGCUUCUUUACCAUUACAAUUCUGGCUUUAUGCCUUUCAUAUAGCUACUUACCUCAUUAAUCGGUUACCAACUAAAGUUCUUCAAUUUCAAUCUCCUUUUCAAGUGUUGUUUAAUAAAAUUCAAAACUAUCACCAUCUCAAAGUGUUUGGCUACCUAUGCUAUCCAUACCUUCGCUCGUAUAAUAAACAUAAACUUUGUUAUCGCUCUAGUCCAUGUGUGUUUCUAGGUUACAGUCCUACUCACAAAGGUUACAUGUGCUUUGACUCUAACUCCAAUAGUAUAUAUAUCACUCGACCUGUAAAAUUCCAUGAGACAAAAUUUCCAUUCCAGCAGACUGUUAACACCUCAUCUGCAUCUUCUUCUUCUCAGUUCACGUCUACUCCAGCCUUAUUGCCUAUACCAUUGUCUAUUCCACCAACUCAAACUUCACAGUCUUCAAUUCCUACAUCUCAGUCUCCUCACUUGUCUAAUUCUGCUCAUUCAUAUCAUUCUUCCCAUAAUUCAACUUCCUUACUUCCUAUACUCGAUCCUAUUCUAGUUCCUUUCACUGCAUCUUCCAGUUCUUCUCUUACUAAUCCCUUGGCACCACACAACUCACAUCCUAUGACCUUAAGGCAUAUUAUAAUUUCUUUUCACAUCCAUUAAAUUAUACCAGACUUCUUUCUUGACCAAUUUUUGCAGAGUGAGGUCACAAUUUUUCAUUAUGAUUGUGUUUAGAGUUCACUGGUUAGGAAUCGACUGACAUGAACUUAAAAAAUUAGUACAAAUUCAGUACGAGAAAAGUGACUUACAUUUAAAAAAAAAUUAUUAUUUAAAUUUUAGAGAAUGAAUUCAUUUUUUUUUUAGAAAAAUAUUGUUGAGCUCAUUCAUACCAAGUAAAUUUGGUUGUCCAUUUUUUUUAUUUUCCUUUUGAUUGUUGGUGAAAAAAAGUUGAUUAUGUUGUCUAUAUAGAAUCAAAUUAUUCAAUAAAUGGGAACUUAUUAAAUUAAUAAUUGGGGUAAUUAUUGGUCAAGGAUGUGAGAUGGCAAAGAAUGGGAGUUAUUUUGCAUGGUAUGAAUAAGUAUAAAUGAGGGAAAUAGCUUUAGAGUUGAGGAUCUAAUUUGAUAGAAACAAAUUCCAUUGCUUAAUUAUGUAUUUUUGUUUUCUUGACCAUUUGCACUUACAUAUGAAUCAUAUAAUCCAUCGAAUGCAUCUUCCUCAAGUGUUUCAUUCUUAUACUUUUUUUUUUUGAAUUUUCUAAUCAUUUAGGUUUUUUUUGCAAACACUUUAUAAAAAAUAAUUUUUAAGAAUAAUUUUUAAAAUUCAUUUAUGAUAUUUAGUAGAAUAAAAUUUGUUUGGAAAUUUGGAAUGUGUUUAACCUAUUUUCUAUAUUUUUAAAUAUAUUUUAAAAGUAAUUUUUAUACAGAAUGUUUCUUUUUUAUUAUUUUUAAUAAUUAUGUAAUUUUUGAAAAUAAUUAUCAAAAACUCAAAAAAAAAAAAAGUGAUAACAACAAAAAAUAAUUAAAAGUUAUUGGUUGAAAACACUUUAUUCUGUUUUUAAGGAUAAAAAUUUGUUUUUCGCUUUUUAGUUAUUAAACAUGUUUUUCUAUUUUUUUUAUGAAGAAAAAAAUAGUUAUGAAACAAGAAUUUAACUUCCACAUCAUGUUCUCCUCAAUCGCCAUUAUUAAUCAAUUUAUAAAUUAAUUUUGCUUAUUAAUUCCAUAAGAUCAAAAUUUAUUUUAAAAUUUUAAUAUUAAAAUUGAAUGGAAUUUGAUUAUUUAGUGUCUCAAAAAUUUGUCACUUUGAUAAACUACAAGUAAUUUUUAUCUUAUCAACUUUUGAACUCGGACCAAUAGAGAGCAAGAGCCAUUUUGCAUAUAUUAACAUAUAAAAAAAGUCAAGUAGUCAAAUUUGUACAUCUAGUUAUUAAUUAAGUUCCUUGAUUUUAGCAACUUUUAUUCUCCCAAGAUUUUACCAAUAAGAUAAUUAUAAUAAUUAGAUAUUAGUUUGUUGAUUUUUAUUAUUAUUAUUAUCGUUUGUAUAGUUGGAGAUUAGUUUCCUUUUUUUAGGAAACUUAUGAUAUCUAUUUUUAUUUAUUCAUAUCCACUUAUUAUCAAUUUUGAAUGCCAAAUUAGAGGUAAUUUGAUCCAGAAAAUUUUUUAUGUCUAUAGGAACAAGACAAUAUGAAAAAGAACCAAUUACAGUAAUGUACAACAUUGAUAAAGGAUUUACAUAAAUUGAUUCAAUUAUUAGAAAAUUGAUUUGAUUAUUUCCAAAUAUUACAACAAUUUCAAGAAAUUUCAAAAGAAUAUUAUUUAUAUUAAAAACAAAUUCAAGUUAAUGAUUUUAAUUUAUUUAUUUACAAACAAAGUUUUGACUUAUUUACAAUAAAUGAUUUAAUUUAUUCACAUUCAAUUUUUGUUUUCAAGAAAGUUACUUUUACUCAUUAUCAUUAAAAGAAUUUAUUGGAUGCAAUUUCAUUAAAAAAAUUCAGUUUGAUUUUAUUUAGAAGAAGUGAUUUUUAUUUACCUUUACUAGAAAGAGAAUGAAUUUUUACAAUUUUAUUUUCAAGAAAAUGUUUCAAUUCAAACUUUUUUUUUAAAAUUACAAAUUAUUUAAAAAAUAUUUUCAAAAAUUUAUUUACAAAAUAAUAUUCUAAUUUGAUUGUAUUUAUAAAUAAUAAAUUUUAACAUAUUUAUUAUCAUCAUAUAUUAAUGAGUGGGGACUUAGCCUAGUGGCAAUCAAGCUUAAACCCAAGCCUUGUGGCUUGGGUUCGGAGGAAAGCGCGAAAAAAUUACCUAAAAAAUCUAUGAUUUAUUUAAAAUAUCAUUGACAUUUUGGCCAUUUUUUUCAAUCUCCUCUGCCGCGUGUCGCCUCAUGCUCGAUUUUUCACCGCUAAAUCACCUCUAAAUCAAUAUAUCAUCAAUAUUUGGACGACCUUGCUGAAAUUCUAGCCGAUUGAUAAUUGAUGCCCGAUAUCGUUUUGGGCACUACCGAUAUUCAAUAUUUUGCCAAUAUUUCAGCGAAAAAAAUCAACAUUUCAAUCCUUGGUUCCAACUACCUACUACUCUCUAUUUUGGCAUAGUACAAUGGAUUUAAUGCCAUUUUGUACAAGUAUUAAUCUAAGAAACUAAAGUUAAGACAACAUAAAAGAUAUUUUGUAAAAUAAAUUUCAAUCAAAGAGGUAGAUGUUUGUGUGUUAGACCCCUACCAACUUUGUUGUCGGAGUUAAAAGCCCUACCAACUUUAUUGUCAGAGUUAAAAGCCUUACCAACUUUGUUGUCAAAGUUAAAAGUAGUUGGAACUUGGAAGUAGAUCAUAACUAACACGUUUAUUUAUGUGAAACAAAGAUGAAAAUAUCGGUGAUUACGGAUAUAUCGAUACUUCGAUUUUACAAAUAUAUCGAAUUUAUCAAAAAUAUAUCAGCAGAUAUUUUGAUACAAAAUAUCAAUGGACUUAAAAUUGAUCAGAACUUAUAGAAAUGUAGGUAAAAACUUUUAAAAAUGAAAUUAGAAGUAUAAUAGAUAUUUUAAAGCUGUUUUGUUGAAGAAAUUAAUAUAUAUAUGGUAUAAUUUAUUAUAUUUGAUAAUAAUAUUGUAUGUGUUGAUAAAAAAUGUAAAUUUUAUAAGUGUACAUUUAUUAUUAAAUUACAUCAAAUAUUAUUCGACAAUAAUAUUGUGAUAUUUGAUUAUAAUAUGUCUAAUUUUAAAAUAUAUUUAAUAUUAAAAUUAUAAUUCAUUUAAUUUAAUUGUAUUAAAUGAUAUAAAAUAAAUGAUGAUAUAUGUAUAAUUUUUUAAUAUUUAAUUAAUAUAUAAAUGAUAUUAAAAACACUAUAAAGAAAAUUAUCAUGAUAAUUUUUAUAUUUUUGUUAACAUAAAAAUUAUUUUUGGUAAUUAAUUAAAUGAAUUUUUUUAUUUAAUUAUAAAAUAAUUAUAAUUAAUUUGUUUAUUUUUAAAUAUUUUGUUAAUAUUUUAUUUAUAUGAUGACUUUUAGUAUAUAUGGGUUGGAUGCAACAUAGGCGAACUUGCCCUGUGGUUGGCUGAGGUUAGAACCUUUUGUUUGGGGUUGGAGUGGGUAUGAUAUUUUAAUCCUUGAUAUGGAGAUGAGAGUUGUUUUGUAAAAGAUAUGUUUUUUUAGCAUAAAUGAAAGUUCUAUGUCCAAAAUAAGAUUUUGAUGUUCUCUUUCUUUCUGACAUGGAUAAGAGUAGUCCGUAAAAGUUACAAAAAUAAAAGUAAGUUUUGGAAAAAAUAAAAUAAAAAUAAAAAUUAUACUCACUAGUAUGUCUUGUUCAUUUUUGUCAAAUCUCGAUGCCCUAAAUGUGAAUCUUGGAAAAUUGAAGAAACUAACCAAACAAUUUGUUGACCCCUCAUUUUGGCCGAGUAAGAGAACAUUUUUUUUUUAGGCCAAUUGGGGCUGUUAGGGAGCUAUGGAGAGGAUGCUCUCCGAGGUCCAGAUGGGUGACAGGUGGAGCUGUGGAGAGUUGUUCUCCUGGGUCCGGAUGGAUGACCCUCCAUCAUUGAGGGGAUUUUUCUGUUAGAAAAUAUUACCUUUAGGGAGCACUUUGAGGGAGUGGCGCAGAGACCUUUUUGCUAGGAGAAACCAGCAGGUGACACGCAGUAGUGGUUUUUCUGGCCGUUGGAGGGAACUUGAGCAGCAAGAAAAGUUGGAGAAGUUGGAAAGAAGAGAGAAAAAACGGGGGGAGCUACAGAGAGUGUCUCGAGAGAGCAAAGAGGAUUGAGGAGGCUGUGAGAAAAGCCAUUUUUGAGAAAAAGAAGAGUAUAGAGAGAUAGUGAGCUAAGCUUAGACAGAGAUAGUGAAAAGUGAGGUUGAAGAAAGUGAGAUGAACAGAAGAGAACCAGAGCAGAGAACAGGGAAGAGGAAGGAAGUUGGAGUCUUACCAGUUUUGGAGUAAAAGAAAGUAUGAGAAGCUGACCAAGCUUUGAGAAACCUAGGUAGGGCCACUGUACAUUUCACCGUUUUCUUCCUCUGUGCUUGUUGAUUUUGAGUGUUAUUUGUUGAUUUGGGUGCGAAUAUCAUAUGUCCAUGCAUUGCUUGUUGCCUUUUAAGCGGUUGAUAGGCUAGAUCUUGCUAUAUUCAUCUAUGCACCUUUGUUUUUCUUUGAGAUAUAUCCUGAAUAUGGUUCAGUUUUACUGUGUGACCAGGGUUCAAAAUCUCGGUCGAUACCGGUACGACUCGGCCGAGUCGUAUCCACCUCGACCAUGGACGGUACCGGACCGAUACCCGAGUUGGAUAUUUUGCCGAACAAACUCGAUUGAAUUGAAAGAGUGAAUCCUAUGAAAACGUUGAGACAACUCCAAGAUCAUGUUGAGACUAAGCUAUUUGGGUUAUUGGUAAUGGAAACAAAGGUAAUAUUGAAGUAGAAAUGGUGGAGAAGAUGAGAAAAUCAAAACCCACGAAAAUGAAAAAUACAGAUUACAGAGAUGGCCUGCAUCUUGUAGUCGCUGGUCGGAUCCCCCAAGUUCUUGCCGGAGAUGGAACUAAGCGACAUGAUUAGGAGGCAGAGUUGCCGAAUAUCGACGGAGAACGACGGUGAGGUGGCCGAUGGAAGUGGGAGAAGAGAGAAAGUGGCCUGCGGAGGAACUGGUUGUGGGGAGAAAUGGGUCUUUGACCGAUGGUGGCUAUGAGUAUUUAAACAAUAUGGAUUUGAGUUUUUUUUUUUUUUUUUUGGAUAAAUAGGUGAGGAUUUAGGUUUUAAAUAAUAUGUAUUUAUUUUUUAAGUAGAUAAUGAGUAUUUGGUGGGAAUUUGAGUUUUAAAUAAUUUGAUGAAAAUUAUAAUGAUAAAAAAUUAAUAAUGAAUAUUAGACUUAUAUCAAAUAAAUAGGAAAUGAAUAUUUAUAUAAAAAUUAAAAUUAAUGAAUAUAUUUUAUAAGAAAAAUUAUAUUUAUUUUUUUAAAGAUAAAUCAUGGUUUUAUUUUUUUAAUAGUUAAAAAUAUUUUUUUUUAAAUUCAAAAUAUUUAAUUUAAACAAUUUUUUAUAAAAAAAAUUACUUUUUAUUAUUUUCAUCUUCAACAAGAAACAUUUAUUAUCAAGUGAUUAAAUUAAAAUAUUUUUAGAGAUUUUUAAUAUUAUUUUAAAUUAUCCCAAAAGUAUGCUUUUAUUAUAAUUUGAAUAAUUUUAAUAUAAUAGAAGUUUAUUUUAUUAAUUUUUCACUCUACUUAUUUGUAUUUAAUUUUUUAAAUAAUUUUAAUAAUUUUUUAAAAUUAUUUUAAUAUCUUAAAUUAGAAUUUUUUGCGUAUCACCCGAUACCGAUCCGAGAUACCGAGACAGAUGUGCCUCAAGACCUCCCGAGUCAAUGACCGAUACCGCGACUUUGAACUAUGUGUGUGACAUAUGAGAAUCAUGUUUCUACUCCCUGUUUCAUUCACCCGUUCUUGGCUCGUUGAUUAAAACAUGAAAUGUGUGGCUAUAGUUGGUUCAUUUUGCUUCCUUCACUUGUGCUCUGUUUUCUUCUUUUCUCCUGUUUCUGAUGUCCACCUAUGGAGAGCUGGGCACAAUGAAUAUAAAGCAUUAAGAGGUUUUGAGUGUUUGUGGAACAUGGGUUUUUACUGGGUGAAAUAAUACCAGAAGAUUUCAAGGAUGUUUGUGAUGAUAAAUGCAAGUGUUUGCAUUCUUGGAAUAUUGGUGAUUUUUUCUCGAGUUUGACACAGCUUGAAGGGCACCAGAAGGUUGUUUGUGGGAUUGUUUUUGCUAUUUGGGCCUGAUAAGCUAUAUAUUGGGAGCAAAGAUGAGACUGAGGACUUGGAACUCUCAAUCUAGGCAGUGCACUAGUGUGGUUAAUCUUGGCAGAAAAGUUGGUUGUAUGAUCAGUAAAGAUUCAUGGUUCUUUGUGUGUAUACCAAAUGUUGUUAAGGCAUGACACACUCAAAAUAACAUUGAAUUGAGUAUCGAUGAACCCAUUAGGCAAAUUUAUGCAUUGGUUGUUGGUAAUGAUCUGCUAUCUACUGGUGCACAAGAUGGAGCAAUAUGGGCAUGUCUGUAAUGAUCACCAAACUGCCACAGCUCCAACCACUUCCAUGCAAAAAUACUGCCACCCAAACAUUCAAACAAGCCAAUUGCUUCUAAAUGGGAUUUCUACUUGGCUUUGUAUCUGCUUACACCAAAAAGUGAGGAAAGGAACAGCUCAGCAAGCUCACCUUACAUGAGGUAGAGGAUUCAGAGGAACUUGUGGAAUGACUUCAUGAACAACCCAAUUUUCAAUGUAGAACAUUAGCUUCUUUACACAGAGAACACCCACAAUAAUGAGAUUUGUUCGACUUUGAAGGCAGCUCAUCAUCAUCCAUUUACGGCAUGCUCGAUCAACUCCAAUCAGCAAACAUGGUCUCCUAAUAUGGUUCAUCUUUCCAACCAAAUAAUGCUCUGAGUCUAGGCAAAUGAGUUAUGGACAAAAUGCCAAUAGAGCCUACUUCGGUGAUCUGGACCACUUUGUUUGGAGGUUAUGGGAGACAUGAUGAAACCAAGGUGGCCAAGUUAAAACUAAGGGAGCUCCAGAGCAUAAUUCCUUGAAGAAACUGCUCAUUUACUCUUCGCGUGCAUGAAGUAAUAUCUCCUCAUUAACAUGGCCACCCUACAGUUGUUACAUGACCACUUGCUCCUUUUUUUAUUCCCCCAAAGGAAACCUAGAUAGUAAUUCCGGUUUGAACCCCUACCAGCUUCUUUUCCAUCCUACCCAUGUGCAUGUGUGCAUGGCCACCCAAAACUGUUGCAAGGCCCUCCAUCAAAUCCAAAUCCUAAGCCAAAUAAUUUUGUGCCUAAAACCUUAGGACCAACUUACCAUGUCACGACCCAAAUUCCGGGCAACCCAAAAUUUGGCCCUAACCCCAGGUCAAAGGUUUUACCCUAAGGGUUAAUCCUAAUCCACACUAGCAGUUAACCAAAACGCUUUAAAAUUUUUUUUUUCUACACAUACAUCACACUAGAAUUCCCACCAACCAACAAUCCAAACUAACAAUAUCUCAAUCACUACUCAAAAGCAACAAGAUAUAAUAAUUAUCAUUAUAGUCCAAAAAUAAAAGUUCACAGUUAAACAAUUUAAUCAAAAUAAGGUCUUAUUACAAUGCAUAGUCCACAAUUUGCUAAAACAAGUUCCAAUACAACCAACACAACAAAUACACCACUCUCCACUAGGCUGUUCCAAAACCUCCAGGGACAUCCUAAAGUCCUCCCUGCCCCACCUGUGAAUCUUCAGGAGUGAUAUCCACAUCUAAAAAGAUGUAAAAAGGAAGGGGUGAGCAUUUCACAUUGCUCAGUAGGGUGUUUAACACCCAAAGGGUUAAUGGGGAUUACUAAGUUUCAAUUAGCACAAAAGAAACAUUCAUCAAUAUUGAUCAAGCCACAUAUCUUAAUCUCUAUAAUUAUACACAAUUCCACAAUUUUCAACAAUUAAAUGAAAUGCAUAUGAACAUGUGACACACAACCAUACAAUGCACUGUCAUUCUCAGGCUUUCAUCGAAUGAUAUGCGUCCGCAUCCAAAUACACUUCCCAUUCAGAGUCAUCUCAGGGUAAACUUUGGGUCUUUCACCCUAGGGAUCUCUCAUCCUUCUUAAUUCGCCUCACACGGACCUUUACUUUUCAUCACUAUUUUAUUUUUUUCUUUCUUUUUCCAUUUCAUGCACUUUUCACAGUUUUUAUCUUUUCUUCACACAACCAUGAUGCAAAUGAAUGUCAUGAGGUUAAUCACCCUCAUUCACAAGUAUCACCAAUAUUACAUAAAUUUCCAACUAAUCCAAAUAUAAUUGAAAGCACAAUCAUACCAAAAUUCCAAAAUUUCCCAACAAUUCCAAUAAUUCCAAUACUCAAAUAUAAUUAUUUUUCCACAAUAAAAUUAAAAAAAAUAUUCCAACAAAUUCUCAAAAAUUCACAUAUCAAUAAAUUAUAAAUUAUACCAUAAUUUCGUAAUUUUCCAACAAUUCUAAUAAUUUUCAAUAAUCAAAUAUAAUUAUUUUUUCACAAUAAAAUCACCAAAAAUAUUCCAACAAAUUCUCAAAAAUUCACAUAUCAAUAAAUUAUAAAUUAUACCACAAUUUUGUAAUUUUUCAAUAAUUCCACUAAUUUUAACAACCCAAAAGCAACCAUUUAUCAAUCAAAAAAAAAAUUCUCGAAAUCACAAAAAUUCCAAAAAUAUUCCCAAUCAUCCAAUAAAAUUCCUAUAUCACAAACACUACCUAUUUAACUCAUAACGACAAGAUCGACGAUUUUUUUCAAGAAAAAAAACAUUUAAUUAAAGUUUUAGGGUUAGGUUUCUCUAUCACAUAUUUACAAAUCAAACCGUUAAAAUCAAGAUCAACCAUCGUAAACUCGUUCCUCGUGUCGAGUAGAACAUUUCCUCAAAUUUUCACUCAAAACGAACAACGUUCGGCCGUCCAAAAGGCCGGCCAAAGAUUUAGAGGGAAAAAUUCUGCCCACAGUGCCGAAAGCUCCUCUUCUGCCACUUUCUAAUUCCUUUCUUUUCUUUUUUUCUUUUUUUAAAUCCCAAUUAUUCUACUUUUUAACCACCAGCCAAGCCCACGGCCCACACCAAAAGCCUUUGAAUUCUUUUCUUUUUCUUUUUAUUUCAUUUGUUUUGUUUCAUUUCUCAUUUCAUUUCCAAUUCAUUUCAUUUUUUUUUAACAACACACAAAAUAAUUUAACCAACACCAAUCCAAAAUUAUUUUUCUCAAAUUUAUUAUCAAGUAAUUUAAUUUAAUUUUUACUUAAUUAGUUCUAGUUAAUUUUAAUUAAUUCAUUUUUCAUUUUUUGUUUUCGUUUUUUGUUUCCAGAAAUUUUCAAUUUCUACAAUCCUAAGAAAUUUUCUACCAUAAAACUAAUGUGGCACAAAAUUUUCAACUCGCCUAAUUGACCAACAAAAUAAUUCGAAUUCCAUCAAUCCAAAAUUAACACGUGCUCUCCGAUCACUUUUCUUUUUUUACUUUUCAACCAUUGCUCAAAAGAAGACUUUUCAAACUAGAAAUCCUAAUGUGACCUAAAAUACCCGGUCAUUACAUACCACCAUCAACCUAAUCCCAUCACCAUGCCCACCAAUCACUCCUCAUUCCUACACGAUAUUGACCACUGUUUGACAUGAGCUUGAUCUAAGUUUUGAGGUUUGCUUGAGAAAACCACUACUGUGAUUUGAAGAUGGGUUUAGUGGACGUCUCUUCUGAUCUUACCGAGUUUAGAAGAACUCCGAUGGCAGUAUUUUCGGCUGGGGUAAAAUCAAUAUUAGACAUUCCCAGAACCUUGGAGUAUUUGAAAUUCAAAGAGCAUGUGUUGCUGCUUAUAUGACUAACGAAUGUCCAGCAUUUUUCACAAAAAAUCAAUGAUUGCAUCUCGACAACACAAUCUUAUAUUGGCUUCAGAGAGGAAGCUCUCAAACCCAAUGAGACAAGACAUCUUUUAAGGCAGAUGACAAAAUAGGCCAUGCUCACCUCAGCCUUCAACCCAUAGUCUUAGCUGCAAGACUAAAGCAAAUCCUAGGGUUUCAUCUGGCUAUACACAUGGAAUAUUGCUACUGAAGAAGAGCAAAGUGAUGAUACAAAUGAAAGUUUUGCCUCUACUGAUGCAACCAAAGCUUCUUAAUCGGUGUUACUAGCAAUAUGGAUCAAGAGAGACACAUAGAAUACUAUUUCUUUGGGGACCACUGAAAAUCACAGUGGUGCAAAUGCAGAUUUGAUGUCCUUGUCUCAAUCAACAGAAGUUAGUGGUGGUGAAGUUGCUACGGUUGGCAACAGGGUUCUUUUAAACCCCAAAGUUGGUGCUCCUAACACAAAAGGUUUGAGUUAAAUUGUGCCUUCUUCAUAAAUUGAUCAAAAUUUGAAGGUUGAGGCAGAUCGUGGAAGCAUAGAAAAUGUUGCCAAGGAAGUUAUGAAUUCCAAAGAUAGUGUUAUGGGAGUUGAUGCUUUUGAUGGGAAUUUAUAAUAUUCAUCCAAAGAUAAAACAUUGAUGGACAAGACGGUGGAGAAUGGCACCAGAGGCCAUAAUGAUGCACGUGUGUGAGUCCAGAUGAAUGAACCCAGGUUGCUGAAAGAGAGAAAGCUUCACCUAUGUAAAAUAAGAAGAUGUUGGACUCGAAAAUUGAAGUUGUGGGAAGUGAUGAUGCAGAUGGGAAAUGUUGUUCUUCGAAAAAAGAUCAAGAUAUGGAGGAUUUUGGAGGAAAGAGGGUGAAACUCCAUCAGCAGUGAAAAAGGAGGAUCGAAUUAUAGGGAUACAUGAAGGUUCUUGGUCUUAUCUUGUUGGUACCAUUGGUAGAGUUCCUAAGAAAGUGAUAGGAACAACAACACCAAAAGAACCCCCAGACCAUCAAAAAUCUGCAUGGUGUUUUUCCAUUGGAGAUGAACUGAUUAUACAUUGGGAAUUAUCAUCAUCAAUAGCAGCAGCACUGGCACCAGCUAAUGCAGCCUCUUUGCACCUCGGGCCCACUUCUGCACCCAUGCAUGGCCACCUUUGGCAUGCAAUCCCAAAGGCCACAUGUCAUCCUCUUAUUUCUUCAUCUUUUGCUUUUAAAAUUUGAUUUUCAAAACUCUAGUUUUCAAAUAAUUUUAAAAAAUCCAGCUUUCGAAUCAUCUUAAUCUCUUACCCUUUUAUAUUUAUUUUAUUUUAUUAUUAUUAUUUUUCCUUAGAAAUUUCAAGUCAUUCCAAAAAUCCAAUUUUAAUAAACUUUUUGUUGUCAUAUUUCUCUUUUGGUAUGCAUUUUCAUAUUUUCUUUGAAUUUCAACUUUUUUUUAUUGAUUUUUCUCAAUUUUUAAUAAAGCAUGAAUAAAUUCUAUAAUUUCAAGUAAUAGAAUUUAUGAAGUUAAUUCAUGCUAAAAUAAAUCGGGCAUUGGUGGGGCCUGACAUCUAUGAUUGAUUACUUGAUUGACUUUGUCCUACUCCGAUAUGUAUGCGAUUAUUCAGUAUUUGUGCACUAACCUUGUCUCCCAUGAUAGUACUCAGUUUGCGACUAAGGUACGUCUCGUACCCGAUCAUUUUUAUAUAUUUAUCCGUUAUCAUGCAUGACUUAUUUAAUUAUUUGAUCAUUGUUUAGUAUCCACGAUUUCUCGAUCAAUUGUCAUGUUUGCCCUAAUUGAUUAGUAGGGACCCAUUUUUAGGAGUUUAGAGGGGUGCUACGCCUUAUCACCGUACCUUCUCGAUAGAUAACCUGACCCCAAACCCAAACUUAGUUUUUCGCAAACUUGUUUUUUUUUAGGAGUCACAUUUAGGUUUUUCUUUCUUAUUUUGUUUUUCCCUUAAAAAAUAAAACAAAAAUAAGUGGUCACUCCAAAUUAUUAUUAUUAUUUUUAAAAUAAUUUUUUCAAUAAAAAUUGGGUUUCACCAUUCGAGUGGAAACGCAUGCGAGAAAGGCGGGGUCCACACAAUUAUUAAAAAAUUAUCCAAAAAAAGUUUGAGCCCUUUGUUAUUAUUAAAUAAGGUUUUUUUCAUAUUUUUUUAUAAUAAAAAACUAAAAUUAUCGAACAUAUUUUUAAGAAUUUAAAAACAUAAUUGAAAACUUAUUUAUUCUUUCUACCCUUAAAAACUCUAAAACAAAAAUAUAGCUAACAACCAUCUAACCUAUCAUGUUCUUCUCCUUUUCUUUUCUUUUCUUUUUUCCUUCUUUUUUUCUCCAAUUUCCAUUGUAGAAUGGACAAACAAUUUUCAGAAGGAAAAUAUAGAAUGUGAUACUGUGGCAUAAAAAAAUAACCUAUUUUUAGGCUUAGUAUUAAUCAAGUGAGAAAAUAAAAAAUGAAGAAAUUUAAAAUUUCUUAUUUCAUUUAAUAUUAUAACAAAAAAGUGGCCUUUGUGUGUGUUAAAGCACUAUCAAUCUUGUCAUUACGCUACAAUUAUUUUAUAGGACAUGAGCAUUUUCUUUCAACUUAUUUCUAUAUUUAAAGAUAUUUUAUGUAACUUAUGUUUACAUUUGAGGAUAUCUCAUAUAUAAUAUUAGCGUAAGGAAAAGUUGUCUAGCUAGAUCCUGAUCCUUAUCUUAUUGGGAUCCCAAAAUAUGAUUUGAUCUCCGAUUACAAUUAUAGAACAAUAACACCAUGGUAGCUACUGUGCUCCUUUGCUACACAGAAUAGAAGCUUCUCUACAAAACUACCCAUUUUCUGCCCCUCACAAAAACCAUGGUCACUCUUUUUUUUCUAGCUAAAUUCAUUUUAUUAAAUAUUUUUAUAAAUAAAAUGACAUUUCUGACAUUCCAUAAUUUCUACGUUGUUGAGCCAAAUUUAGAAAAUGGAUCAUUCUUGGACAACCUCGAUCUUGUGGGGUUUGGUUUUGGAAGCCAAAAGUCCUAUCUCUGUUGCCCUUUAGGGCUCUUGUAUAGGGAGACGGAGAUAUUUGAGGAUGCCUGCAAGGUUGUAGUACAACCUACAUCCUUAUCUAGGCUUUGGUUCUAAAAGUAUUAAAAAAAAAAAAAAUGUUAUAGAAAAUUACUAUUCAUAUUUGAUUUCACAGUUAAAAAUAUAUUAAAAUAAUCAAAUAUAAUUAAAAUUAAUUAAAAAAUUUAUAAAUUUUAAAUUUAUUUAAUCUUUAUAUAAAGAAGGAAAUUAAAUAAAAUAAAUUUUAAAAAAUAUAUAAAAAUAAGUUAUUGAUUUAAAUAUUUUUUUUUCUAUUUUUUCUCUUUAUUUUCCUUAUUUAAAAUUUGAUGGGAAUCAAAGAUAUUUACUUAAAAUUUGAUUUAAAUAAUUAUUUAUAUUUAGUUUGUAUCCAUUUCUUAAUUUCAAAGGUACAUUUUAAUAAACCAGACCUUAUGGAAGGUCAUGACAUACCUUCUUGUUAAUUAUUAAUUUCACUCCCAUAAAGAAAAUGAGAUCUUACCCAUUGCAAAUAGAUCAAUUAGCACAUCCUGAGAAAAGGUUAAAAACGCAAAUAAUAAUAAUAAUAAUAAUAAUAAUUACCAAACGUGCUUAAAAGAAAUUAAUUUCAAGUUUCAGAAGAAAAGGUAUUCUUACAGCGGUACAAGAUCUGCAAAAUUGUAAACAUAAGGUACCCUAAGAUUCUUUUAUAAAUUUAAAAAUUUGUCUAAAUACAAAAUAAAAGGCAAGGAGAACGAUGCAGCAGAUGAUACAAGUAACGAUUGGAAGGCCAGAGGAAAGUGGUAGCACAGCGUAUAGGCCCGUCAUGAAUGCAACCACCAUCGCUCCCAUGCUAAACAGGGUGAGUAAAAAGCCCAUAAUCAAGUGUUUUACAAGGAAUUCCCCGUCCUUAUGCAACGACAUAAAAAAAUAAACGAACACAGCAGAUACGGAGAGGAUCACGGCUAUGGUGUCCGUCACAAUAAAUGCUUUGAAAGCUGCUCUCUUUGUUAAAAUUGCCAUGCCAUUGUCAUUGUAACCACCGGGCAAGGUGAAACCCGCAGCAAAGGUUACAGUUGCUACAAGUGCUGCCACUAUCAAAUGGGUUUCACCUUGUCUUUUUAUGGUAGAGAUGCUUUCGUCUUUUUCGACGUCUUGGCUUUUACUACUACUACUACUACUACUAUUACUAUUACUAUUACUAUUACUAUUACUGAUAGCACCACUGUCUUUAUUGAUAGCCUCCUGCCAACUAAUGGUCCAACAACAACUUUCUCCCAUUCCCUCAAUUGUCUUCGAAUUUCUUCCUGAAAUUUGAUCAAAAUAAAACACCUUAAAAAAUAAAUAAAUAAAUAAAUAAAAAUAAAAGAAAUAAAGAAAGAAAAAGAAUGUAGUUCAUGUGUCGCUGUUUUGGCUUUUUGCUCUUCCUUUAUAUAAGAAGAUUUUCUCAUCUUCCCUCAAAAUGUUUUUCCAUAAGUCUACAAUUUAGACCCACAGGUUCUACAAAUUGCCUACAUUAUGGUAAUUUGGUAGUUAAUUUCUAUUUUAAGCAUGAUUGUCUCUACCGAUAAUAAAAAUAGAAAAAAUAAUGAUGAUGGAGUCUUUCCAUAUCAUUACUAAUAAAAAGAUUAGGUUAGGAUCCUUACUGGCUUAACGUUAGCCCUUGAAAAAAUGUCUAGGGCGGUUAACUUAUCCUUGUUGAGUGCCAUUUUAUCCACUCUAUUGUCCUCUGACAAAGAUGGAUCAUAAACUUGGUAAGAAGCAAGCAGGUGGAGGGGUGAGUCUCCUUUAGCGUCUUUCUCAUUUAUAAGUCUUCUCACCCUUAACAAACUAUUGUCAUUCAAGAUAUGACGAGUAGCAUGAUACCGCUCGCUCAUAAUGGCAGAGUGAAGAACAUUAUUUCCCUUAUCAUCCACUUGCUCGCAACAAUCUGGGGAGUGUGACAGCAGCAGCUUUACUAUAUCUUGAUGGUUACGGUUAGCUGCAAUGUGAAGUGCUGUUUUCUUGCUGUCCUUGAUUCCAAGAUAAGUUACAGAUUUAUCUGGUGAUUUGGCUAGUAAUUGCUCCACAAUUUCAGUAUGACCCAAGUAUGCAGCACAGUGAAGGGGAGACCAUCCUUUCUCAUCCACUUCUUUUGUCAGAUCUGGCUUCCAUUCCAAUAACCUUGCUGUCAUUUCUGUAAACAAACGAACCAACAAAAAACAGAGAAAACAAAUUGAAGAAAAUUAAGUUAAUAAUUGAAGUUCCCUCUAGUUUUUUUUUUAAAGAGGGAGAGCUGGGAUUGAGAGAGGAAGGGAUUUUUUAAAGAGGACAGUUUUUUUUUUAGAGAAAAAAAGGGGAGCUUUCCGACAACCCCUCCACCAGCAACUCCACCACCGGCCACUUCGCCACCUGCUACCCCUCCACCGGCUCAUCUCGCCUCUCCACCAGCAGCGGUUCCAGCGCUAGCUCCAAGGACGAAGGUGAAAUCUCCGGUCGUGGACCGAUCUCAGGCGGAAUCUCACCAGGCCAGCUACGAACGAUGUGAAUGGAGUGGAAAGGCUGUGGUCGAUGAAGAAGGUGGUCGGGCAUUUGGACUGGCACUGAGCUUGAUGAUCUGUGAGAGAAGGAGCACCGAGAGAAAGAGAUAGGAGUCUUCCAGGCGAGAGAUUUUCUCUUCUUAUAUCUGCUUUUAUAUGUCAGUUUUUCUGCUAAAAAUUCAUGACGGGUAAGGGGAAGGUUCACGUCAGCAUUGUCGCCAUUGGCCAUGUCGACCAUGGCAAGUCGACCACCACUGGUAAUUUGAUAUACAAGCUUGGAGGUAUUGACAAGUGUAUUAUUGAGUGGUUUGAAAAAGAAGCCGCUGAAAGGAAUAAAUGACCAUUCAAGUAUGCUCGGGUCUUAGACAAGCUCAAGGCUGAACGUGAGCAUGGUAUUACCAUUGAUAUCGCUUUAUGGAAGUUUGGGACCAUUACCAUUGAUAUUGCUUUAUGGAAGUUCGGGACCAUCAAAUAUUAAUGCUCAUGGUCAUUCGGAUUUCAUCAAGAACAUGGUUACUACUUACUAGCACCUCACAAGUCACAAGCAGACUGUCUUGUUUUCAUUAUUAAUUCCACCACUGGUUGAGCAUGUAUUGCUUGCUUACACCAAGCCCUUGGUGUAAGCACAUGAUUUGCUGUUGUAACGAGAUGGAUGCCACACGUCCUCUUAAUCCUUCAUCGUGACAAAUAUAUAUUUAAAAAAAAAAAAUCAAAUUUUAAGUAAUUUUUCAAAAUUUCCCUUUUUAAAAUUUAAUUAAAAAAAAUCCAUUUUCAAAAUCCCUCUUUUCAAAGUCAAUUUACAAAACUUUUUUUUUUAAACAACUUUUCAAAAUCCCAAUUCUCAAAUUUAAUUUUCGAAACUCUCGUCUUCAAAUAAUUUUCAAAAUUCCAAUUCUCAAAUUUAAUUUUCAAAACUUCCAUUUUCAAAUAAUUUUUCAAAAUUCCAAUUUUUAAAUUUAAUUUAAAAAAAAUCAUUCUCAAAUAAUUUCCCAAAAUUCCAAUUUUCAAAACUUUAAUCUUGAAAUAAUUUUCCAAAAAUUCAAUUUCCAAGUUUAAUUUUCAAAACUUCUAUUCUCAAAUAAUUCUUCAAAAUUCCAAUUUUUUAAAUUUAAUUUUCAAAACUUUCAUUUUCAAAUAAUUUUCUAAAAUUCCAAUUCUCCAAUUUAAUUUUUAAAAAUUUCAUUUUCAAAUAAUUUUCAAAAAUUCCAAUUUUCAAAACUUUAAUCUUCAAAUAAUUUUUCAAAAUUCCAAUUUUCAAAACUUCUAUUUUCAAAUAAUUCUUCAAGAUUUCAAUUUUUAAAUUUAAUUUUCAAAACUUCAAUUUUCAAAUGAUUUUCCAAAAUUCCAAUUUUCAUCUCAAAUUUAAUUUUCAAAACUCUCAUUUUCGAAUAAUUCUUUAAAAUUCCAAUUUUUAAAUUUAAUUUUCAAAACUUCCAUUUUCAAAUAAAUUUUCAAAAUUCCAAAUUUCAAGUUUAAUUUUCAAAGCUCCCAUUUUCAAAAUUUUAAAUAUAAAAAUGAAUAAAUUUUCAUAAUUUCAUAGUAAUGGAAUUUAUGAGAAUUAACUCAUAACAAAAUCAAUAGGGCUUUGGGGGGCCUGAAUAUUGUUUGAUCUUUGUCUUACUCUUUGAUAUGCAUGUGAUGAUGUUAUACUUGACCUAACCUUGUUUCCAUGAUAGCAUAUUAUUACUUACUAUUAAGAUAUGAUUUCACUCCUACUUUGUUUUAUCCUUAUACAUCAUUUGUUUAUUUCCUUAUUAAUUGUGACACUUGUUUCACCUUUUUUAGUAGAGAUCCGUUUUUAGGGACUUAGAGGAUGCUACAAUCUUUACCAUACAUUUCCAAUAAGUAAUUUGACCCCGUACCCGACUUUGAUUUUCCAUAUGUUGUCUUUUCCAAAUAAUAAGUCACACUUAGAGUUUUUUUUCUUAUUUCGUUUUCCCUUAAAAAAAAAUAAAACAAAAAUAAGUGACAACUUCAAGUUUUUUUCUAAAAAUCAUAUUUUUCAAUAAAUAAAUAAAAAAAGCAAAUUGCAUCAUCUAAUGAGAACACAUCAUGCGAAAAUGCGGGGUCCACAACCAUAUUUUUUGUUUUUAAAAACAGAAAAUAUAAAACAAUUUUCUAGUUAUCAAAUAUAUUUUCUUUUUAUUUAAAAUAAAAAAACAUAUUCUUAAAAUAGCUAUCAAAUAAGACCUUAUAUUUUUUUUACCUUUAUUAUCUAAUAACAUUGCAAUUGUAUUAUAAAUUAUGUUGAAAACAAUUAGCCAUAAGGCAUAGUAAAAUUUCUUUUCCCAUCCAUAUAUAAAAUUAUUUAAUUAAUGAAAUUGUUAUUAUCUUUUUCUAAUCUAAAUUCAACCAUUACGUUGAAAAACAAUUACCUUGUUGCAAUUGUAUGAUCCAAAUAAUUUUUUUUUACCAAAUUUUGCAGAGAGUGAGAUUGUAGUUUUUCAUUGGGAUAGAACUUUUGGAGUUUGAUGGUUGGGAAUCGACUAACAUAAAGUUAGCAAAAUUAAUAUAUAUCAUGUACGAGAAAAGUGAGUUACACAAAGAACAAAGCUAUACCGCCAAGUAGAGUGUAAGCUUUCUAGUAGCGUGCAUCAUGAGAUUGCAAAGAGCGCAAGCUUUCUGGUAGGGUUCAUCAUGAGAUUGCAGGUCUAGCAAACUUGACCUUGCUUGAUCUAUCUUCAUGAGAUUGCAGGUCUAUCAGGGCCUGUACCGAAGUUCUUUGACCGGUCCAACCGCCGACCUUUGACUGGUCUGGUUUGGUCCUCUCCUUCUGGGUGGUUGAACUGACCACAAACAGGGUGAACCGACUGAACCGGGCGGUUCUUCAUGAACCGCAUAGCUCAAUUCCAGCCCAGCCUUCCCCUCCUCUCUUUCAUAGGGGCCCAAGUAAAAGUCCAAUAAGCCCGGACAGGUUCUCAAUUCCAGCCCAGCCCAGCCUUUCCCCUAUUUUCUUUGUAGGAUCCACCGCAAGCAUUUGAACCCUAAACCUCAACUGAGCAAGCAUCAUAGAGCACCACUUGGCCAUAGUACAUUUUUUUAUACUAAGUUUAGCAAAUAAAAAAAAUCUAUAUGUGUUUGUAAAAUGAUUUAUAAUAUUAAAUAAAAAUAAUAUAAUAUUUUUUGAAAUUAUAAAAUUAGUUAAAAUUUUCUUUCAUUUUUAAUAUAUUCACAUUUAAAUAUUAUACAUAUUCCAUUUAAUAAAGUUUAAAAUAUUAAUAGAUUUAUAUUUAUAAUUGAUAAUAUCAAAGAUAAAAAAUAAAUAUUAUUAAUUUUUAAUUUAUAUAUAUAUAUAUAUUUAAAAUUUUAUUAUUUUUAAUUUUAAUAUAUUUAUAAUGUUACUAGUUCAUCCUAUUCAAACAUCAAUUCAAUCAUUGAACUAUUAAUUAUAACUUUUUUGGUUCAAUAAUGCUAAAAACAUUGUGAGAAACCUUCAAGGACUUGUCCUUUCGCAUAACCAGCUAACUGGAACCAUCUCUGUUGAUCUGGGCUCGUUGAUGCCAAACUUAGUUAAGCUUGAUUUUUUUAUCAACUGGCUCAUUGGAUCACUUCUGACUUCCCUCAUUUAUAUUCUGCAUGAAAAUCCUGACCCAUCUAGACAUUAGCAUGAAUUCUUUCUUGGGUCUCACUUCUCUUGAUUUUAGCCUCUUUGUUGCUUCUAAAUGCCAACAACUAACCUCUGUCUGUGACUUUUUAUGAAAUAUAGCUUCCCCUUCUAUUUUAUAUCUUUAGAACAACAGAGUCACAGGCAGCUUCUUCGCUCUCAAAACUUGUUGCCUUGGCAUACCUCAAUUUCUCCAAUAACAAUUUCGAAAUAUGCCAUGCUAUAUGUGUGACAUAGUAGGCCUUGCCUUCAUCAAUUUCUCUGGCAACAGAUUCACUGGCUAUGCACCAGAGAUUUGCAUGUAGGACCAACAGUGCUCACACUCCUACCUUUAUAUCUUCUUGGCAGGGCUACACAGCUGUGAGGGCUCUGACACAAGCGGCCAAGCCUCUAUUUGAGCUAUUGUACCACUUUCGUAUUCCUAGUUCUGCUCAUUUUCCUUCUCACACGGAGGAUGCUGAGGCAAAAAACUGUAGUUGUUGACAAGGGAAAGGGCAAGCUGGUGGCAGUAGUUGAGUCAGAAUCCGCUGAUGAGCUGCUGGGCCAGAAGAUAAAAGGGACAGCUAGCAUUAACUUUGCAACAUUUGAGCGCUCUUUGCUGCGGAUGAAACCUUUAGAUAUCUUAUCAGUGACUGGCAAUAUCAGCAAGACUUAUAAUAUUGGUGAUGGUGGGUUUGGUACAGUUUAAUUAUAGAGCCUCACUACCAGAGGGAUGAGCAAUUGCUGUCAGAAGGCUCAACAGAAGACGUUUGCAUGGUGACUGGGAAUUCUUAUCUGAAAUGGGGACAGUUGGAAAGGUUAAGCGUGAAAACCUGGUUCCACUCCUUGGUUGCUGCAUCCUUCAGGAUGAGAGGUUUUUAGCAUACGAGUGUAUGGAGAAUGGAAGUCUUGACGUGUGGUUGAGGAAUAGAGCAGUUGCAGUUGAGGCCCUGGACUGGCCCACCAGGUUCAAGAUCUGUUUGGGAUCUGCCAGGGGGCUCGCCUUUCUGCGUCAUGACUUUUUUCUUCACAUUAUUCGCAGAGACAUCAACCCUAGUAAUAUCUUUUUUAACAGUAAAUUUGAGCCAUGGGUGGCAAUCUGGUUGGCUGGGUGGAGUGGAUGGUUGCAAAUGGGAGGGAAGACGAUGUGUUGAAUCAUCCGUACUUUUCAACUAUUACAAAGUGGAAGGAUCAAAUGUUAGGUGAGCUUUCAAUUGCAUGAUUGUGCACAUUUGAUGACUCAUGGAAGCGGCGUGCCAUGCUUGAGGUGGUGAAUCUGUUAAUGGGGAUUAAGCUGGCAGCUCACUGAAAGUACUUAAGUGACUGCAAGUCCAAAAAUUCUACAAUAGCAUAUGUUUUCGACUUAUGAUUGAGAAACGCAUGUAAAUAAGUGACUAGAGGAGAAGGAUGGAAAUGUGCUAUGAUAUUCAAUAUUAUCUUUUGAACUCUGCAGACCAGUUGGGAAAUGCAUUUUCCUCAAAUGCGACUGCAACUUUUCUCUUAUGUCAACAGGAUGCUAAGUUUGAGAAUUGGCUGUGCGUUUUCAGUUUUCGUGUUUGGAAACCACAAGCAUCCAUUGCGACCAGAGACCGGUUCCAAAGCAUUAAUAUCUGCAGCAACGAAGUUAGAUUUAAUCCAAGGGAGGCAAAUGAAGAUUAUGUUGUAAUACUCAAGAAACUUUUCUUCAUUUGUAUUUGCCUGGGAAGGAGUUGACCUUAGCUCCAAGCCUUUAGGAUGUUGGAGGCAUUAGGUGAAGGGGAGAUGAAAUUAAGUGGAAGGUGUCCACACUGUCCAGAGGAGGAGUAUUGUUGUUAUAUUAUUACGGGCCUUUAAUGCCCUAGUACUAUAGAGGUUGGAUAUCGCCGCCCUUGGAAUGAGGUUGAAGGCCUCAACAUGCCUUUGCACUGUUAUAUGCCGUUUUUCUAAUAGGCAAAUAAGAAUAUAUUAGAAGUGCCAAGAAAGAAGGGGGUGGCUUCACUUGUAAAGGGUUGAUGCUCCUUUUGGCAAUUUCAAUGUUAUUUUCUUUUCUUUCAGAGGAGUAAGGGAAAAACUGCAAAAAAACUUUUACAUUCAAGUUUGCAGGGCUUAAUCCCAUUUUUCUUAUGUGGUGUAAUUUGUUCAUCUGAUUGUUCUCCUACCUUAUUUUUUCCGGUGGUUUCUGCUAUUUGAGUCGAUUCGUUAACUUCUUGAGCCUUUUUAAAAAAGGACGACGAGGGAAUGUUGUUCACAUAUAGUUUUGCCUUCACAUCUAUUAUGUUCUUUUGAUAUCACAGCAGACACAACUUACACUCGCUGCUUCCCAAACCAAAGCAGUUCUACCACCAGUCGAACUGACAAAAAGAGCUGGCAACUAACACCUUGUAAUAUAAGUCUAUGUGUGUGUAUGUAUAUAUAUACUACCGAUGAAUAUUAUUAGUGGGUAUUUCCAAAUCUUUGGAGAUUGCAGCAGAAUUAAGCAAACCUUUCAAGCACAACACAUAAUGUUCUAUUCCUAAUCACUCCCCAUUAGGGUGUGUUUGGUACUGUGAAAAUGAGGAGUGCAUUUUCUCUUUCACUCCCAUAUUUAGAUAAUUUAAAAAUGAUGAUGAGAAUGAAAUGAAAAAUGAUUUCAAUGAAAAUGAAAUCUCACUUAUAAAUGAGAUUUCAAUUCAUUCAAACUAGGAGGUAUUUUGAUUCUUUAGUGCAAGUUCUUCUUAAAAAUACUUUUUAAAAAUUAAAAACUAAGACUUUUUUAGAUAAUUUAUUUUUAAAAAUAUUUUUUUAUUUUAAUUUUUUAAAAACCACAUAUUAUAAAUUCAAUUUAUAUAAUGUAAACUAAAUUUAAUUCAUGUUUUAUUAAAAAUAAAAACAAAAUUAAAAAUAAAUAUUUUUUAAUAAAAUAUAAAUAUUAACAAUGUAAUAAAAUUAUAAAUUAUAUUUUUUAUAUAUAUUAUAAAAAAUGUAGAUAUUAACAUUAAUUGAUUUAUUUUGUUGAAAAUAAAUAAUAAUAAUUCAAAAUUAGUAAUUUCUAAUACCAUUCAAUAUAUAAUAACAUGGCAUUAAGCUUUCUGCUCUCGAAAGCUACAAAGUGCACCUGUACCCCACCUAAAGUUUUGUUAGAAGCAUUCGUCUACACCUCAAAAGGAAGCUUCAGGUGCAGGAGUCUCAACACUGGCCCCAUUGUAAUCGUGUUUUUCAAGCAUUGGGCAGCUUUCUUGCAAUCCGACUCCCAAUCCCACCUUGUCUCCUUCUUUAGCAAAUUAGUCAAAAGAAUGACUAUAUCAUAAUAGCCUUUUAUUAAACGUCGUUAGUAAUUAGGUAAACCAAGGAAGGAAUAUGGAUAUUGAGAUCUUAUAAAAGCAAAAUUAAUUUAUUUUGUUAAAAAUAAAGAAAAAUUAUUCAAAAUUAAUAAUUUCUAAUAAUAUUCUAUUUUGAAUGAAUAUAAAAAUAAAUAAAAUUUAAUUUUUUAAGAUAUAAAUGUGCCAAAAUUUUCAUUAUAUUCAUACAUUUAUUACUCAAUUACAAAAAUAACAUUCUAAAUUAUUUUAUUUAAUCUAUAAUUAAUUAAUCAGUUUUUUGAAUCUCAAAUUAUUAUUAAAAAUUACAAGAUUUGUUAAAGAAUCUAAAAUAUUAAUUAUGUUUGUUAUUUUUUAUUGGCAUUAUAUAUAUUAAGUUUUAAAUUAUUUUUUAAAAUCGUUAAACUUAUUAAUAAGUUAAUACAAAGUCUCACUUCAUUUUAAAUUCAUUUUCUUUAAUAGAAAAAAAUAAGAACAGUUCUCUAUUUUACUUUAUUUUUAAAGAAUAAUGACUAAAUAAUUGUAUAAAUUUUUAAAAAUAAUUUUUUUUUCAAAUCACAUGCCUAGGUUUUUAUUAUUUAGCAAAAAAAAAAAAUCUUUCAAGGAUUUUCUUUUAAAUGGAAAUAAAAAAUUAUUUUAAAUUAUGUUCAAUUUAAAUUAUUUUAAAAUAAAUAUAAAAAUAAAAAAUUAUUUUAAACCAUGAGAAAGAAUAUCAUUGAAAAUUUUGUUUAUUUUUUCAUUAGUAUUCCCAUUUUUACUUAGAAUUGAAAUGGAAAUAAAUUAUCAUUUUUAUUUUAUAUCUUUAUAUGCAUCCAAAAAAACAAUUAAAAUUAUUUUUAUUUAAGAGAAAAUAAGAAUGAAAACAAAAUAUUUAUUCUCAUAUUUUUCCUUUCGGCCGCCCAAGACGCAUGCUCGCACGUCCAACAUGUGAAGCAUAGAGAUAGAAGAGGCUGCUGAAGAUGCAAUGAAAAGUGAGAAUUGGGAAUCCAAAGGAUUGUGGCAGCACAGCAUACAGCCCCGUCGUGAAUGCUACCACCAUUGCUCCCAUCCCAAACAGGGUGAGAUGAGAGGCAUAAAAAAACAAGCGUAGCCACGUCCUCAUAUUGAGGUCAUAAAACAGUGCAUGUUGCACUGCCAUACUAAAAAAUAUGAAUACGGCACUUACCGAGAACGUCAGGGCUAUGGUAUCCGACACAACAAAUGCUUUGAAAGAUGCUUUCUUUGUUAAGAUUGCCAUCCCAUCUGUGUCGCUGUAACCACCAGGCAAGGUGAAGCCUGCCGCAAAGGUUACUGUUGCCGUAAGUGUUGCCACUAUCAAAGGGGUUUCACUUGCCUUUUUCACGGAAGAGAUGAUUUUAUCAUCCUCCUCCUCAUCAUCAUCUAUUUUGCCACCAUAUUUGCUGUCAUCCUUUCUGAUGACGUGCUGCAAACUCGAAGGUCUAAAAGGCAGUCUUGAAUAUUUCUUAAAUCCUUCAAAUCGGUCAUCUACUUGUGCCUGCUGCGAACUGGAAGAUCUAAAAGGCCGUCUAAGAUAUUCCUUGCUUCUCUCAUGUAGGUGAUAUAACUGCGGACAUUCUAACGCAGAGAGCUGAAAUUUGACCAGAGUAAAAUUUCUAUUAGAGAAAAACAGAAAAUUAUAUAUAUAUAUAAUGCAUGAGAAGAUCAAAUAAAUGGAUGAUCGUCCAAUGGGAUGAAGUAAUAGAAAAUUUAGUUAAAAAGCCUUACCGUGCCCCAUGAAAAUUUAUUCCGGGAAGAAAAAAGGUUGUCAGAAAAGUUUAACUUUUCUUUGUUCCGUUCCAUCUUAUCCACCGUUUUGUCCAAUAUGAAAUCUACAUCAUUAACUCCGAAAGAAGCAAGCAGGUGGAGGGGUGUGUCUCCUUGAGCAUCUUUCUCAUUUACAAGUCCUCUCACUCUUAAUCCAUCCUUUAUUAAUAACUCACUACCAAAAUGAGAAGGGUGCUUCUUCAUCAUGGCAAAGUGAAAAACAUUAUUGCCAUUCUCAUCAACCUGCUCACAACAAUCUGGAGCGUGUGACAGCAGCAACUUUACUAUGUCCAUACAGCCAUUGUAACUUGCAAUGUGAAGGGCUGUUCUGUUGCUAUUUUUUAUUCCAAGGUAGAUUACAGACUUGUCUUGUGAUGAUCCGUCUAGUAAUUGCUUGGUAAUUGCGGCAUCACGCAUGUAUGCAGCACAAUGAAGCGGAGACCAGCCAUUUUCAUCCACUUCUUUGAUUAGCAUUGGCUUCCAUCCUAGUAUCUUCUUUGUCAUUGCUGAUCAAAUAAAUAAAUGAAGAAAGAGAGGUCAAGGAAUAUUAAAGAAAAUUAAUUAUAAAAUGAAUAACCUAAUGCAUUACUAUAGGCCCUUAUAUGCACUACCUUGGUGACGGCAGAGUACAGCAGCAUGCAAAGCUGUUCUACCCUCGAUGCCUUUGUGAUCUGAUGAAGGGCUGGUGUCUAUGAUUAUUUCAACCAAGUCCUCAUAUUCUCUCUCGGCAGCCAUGUAAAGAGGAGUGUAGCCUGUACUGUUAGCACCAUAGAUGAAGUGAGGGUCUGCCUCAAUCAAUAACUUCACCACUUUUGAGUGAUGAUACCGCACCGCCUCGUGCAAGGCUGUGUCUUUCUCCUUAUUGGUUAUCCUCAGCAUCGCCUUGUCUGUUCCAACCCCACUUUCGAUCUCUAAGUGAAGUGCUUUUGCAUCAAGGAGAGCUUCCACAACCGCCCUAUGGCCUUCUCUCGCAGCAAGGUGAAGUGGAGUGUCGCCUUUCAGAUUGGGCUGCUGCAGUAGAGGUGAACAUGAAUGAAAGUCAAGGAUCCACUCUACGCAUGCCAGCUGACCGAACUGGGCUGCAAUGUGGAGGACAGUGUUCCUUUU
rnacentral:lncRNA from 1 species